rnacentral:lncRNA from 1 species
AGCGGGGGUCAGCAAGUGUUGGAAGUGAUUCUGAACUUCUGGCAGAACAAUCUCCUGGAACUAAAACCAAGAAUGCCUUUAUCCUCAGCAACCUGCCGGGAGAUGUUCCACAGCCAGCUUUCUCCACAAGAGCCAGGUUACAGUGUCUGUAUAUGACAGCAACUGAAGCAAAAGCUUUUGUCUUUUAAAACAGAGUAGUUCACGUACAGCACAGUAGACUCCAACCUGAAACCAUUUAAUAUCAGACUCUGAGCAAAAAGCCAUUUGUAACAGAGGAGCCAUAAACCAUGAUAUUAUUUGCCACAUACCAGCGAGAUGGUGGGUGCAGAUGUUCCUACGGCACAUUUAAUUAGAACUGGGACAAAUAUAUUAGAGAAAUUAGGAUUUCUUCAGCAAGGAUCUAGCUCUACAUGCUGAUCUCUUUCAACUACCAGGUAUUUAAUACAUCUGUACCACUUUUCACCCAUGAAACCUUUCCGUUCGGCAACCUCACUGCAUCCCUAUCUUACCAGAGGAGUAAAGACCAUUGUCCCACUUGGCAGAUGGGUGGUUUCACUGAAGUUUCCCAUUACUUGCCUACGUGUGGAGUUGGGGUCAGUACUAGGAAUAAAGUCCAGGAGUCCUGACUCCUAGCCCUCUCCCAUCAGCCCCGUUCUUCUGAGCCUGCUUUACCUACCUAUCAGGAACUUUGCGGGCAACUACAUAGACAGAGAACAGAUUGCCCCCAAAUGGUGUCUUCAAUCACUCAACUUUUAUCGCUGAGAGACAGUAGCUUCCCUCCCUGCCUCCUUGAAAAGCUUUUAAAAUAAACACAGGUCUGUUCAUACCAUUUAUGGAUCAGUGAAAGGAAGAAAGCAGUGGAUUGACAACAGUAACAUGGAAGGCAUCAUUUAUUUUUCUUACCUGCUAUAAGAGGUCUGAAUUCUGACUUCAUUUAGUUGAGCACAAAGCCAAUGAUGUGUCAGGCUGGACUACUUGCUCUGCCUUGUCUUCUUUUUAAGCUGUGGACAAGACUGGAAGUUAAUACAACAGAGAGAGACCAAGGCACAACUACAGCUGUCUCACUUGUGUACCACUCAAUGCAGAUGUUUUCAAAUCUGCCCAUUUGCCCGUAUGCAAGUGCUUAAUUUCGGUACACACAAAAAUGCUCAUGCAGGAAUGUAUCCCCUCCACACCCCAAAGUAUGUACACACAAAUUCAGCAGAUUAUGAGAUUAGAAUGUGCCCAUCUGAACGUCUAUCUUUUGAGGGUCUGUCCAUUUGCUUUUUGC